rnacentral:rRNA from 1 species
AGAGUUUGAUCAUGGCUCAGAGUGAACGCUGGCGGCAUGCCUAACACAUGCAAGUCGAACGGUAACAGGCCCGCAAGGGUGCUGACGAGUGGCGGACGGGUGAGGAAUACAUCGGAAUCUGCCCGGUUGUGGGGGAUAACGUAGGGAAACUUACGCUAAUACCGCAUACGACCGAGAGGUGAAAGCGGGGGAUCGCAAGACCUCGCGCGAUCGGAUGAGCCGAUGUCGGAUUAGCUAGUUGGCGGGGUAAAGGCCCACCAAGGCGACGAUCCGUAGCUGGUCUGAGAGGAUGAUCAGCCACACUGGGACUGAGACACGGCCCAGACUCCUACGGGAGGCAGCAGUGGGGAAUAUUGGACAAUGGGGGCAACCCUGAUCCAGCAAUGCCGCGUGUGUGAAGAAGGCCUUCGGGUUGUAAAGCACUUUUAUCCGGAACGAAACGCGCAGGGUGAAUAGCCCGGCGAACUGACGGUACCGGAGGAAUAAGCACCGGCUAACUUCGUGCCAGCAGCCGCGGUAAUACGAAGGGUGCAAGCGUUACUCGGAAUUACUGGGCGUAAAGCGUGCGUAGGUGGUUUCUUAAGUCUGCUGUGAAAGCCCCGGGCUCAACCUGGGAAUGGCAGUGGAUACUGGGAAGCUGGAGUGCGGUAGAGGGUAGUGGAAUUCCCGGUAGCGGUGAAAUGCGUAGAGAUCGGGAGGAACACCAGUGGCGAAGGCGGCUACCUGGACCAGCACUGACACUGAGGCACGAAAGCGUGGGGAGCAAACAGGAUUAGAUACCCUAGUAGUCC